rnacentral:lncRNA from 1 species
UAUUGUGUUUUCUGGCCGGCUCGUGGGGAUAAGCCUGAAGGACGUGGACGGGUACUUGAGCGCACUGGAUGGCUUCCAGACUCACAGCAAUUCAAGCUUCGAGGCAAGCUGCUUGAACUUGACGACGGCAAUCAAAACACUUCUGCGAACGGUGGACGGGCGGCGGGUGAUCCAGUUGGACGCUCCGCUCUUCACGCUGCCGUACCUGAACCAAGACAAGUUCCCGGUCGUCGUAUACUUCCCCUGUUUUCGGGCCUGCCACCACAUCGUCAUCCAGAGGGUGGACGGCACCCUCUUCGUCUUCGACCACUACUCCCCCGAGGAGAUCGCGACGAUGAUGGAAGGGGUCGGAUACCGGAACGAGACCAGCUCGUUUUACCGCAAGUACUUGCGACGCCCGGUGACCCAUUCGGUUUUUUUCAGUCUCCGAUACUCACGCAAGGAAAACACCGGCAUCACGGGGAUCGUGGCUACGUAUUUGCUGGACUCCAGCACACGUGUGGCAGUGACGCUUUAGGCUUCUGAACCUUUGUCCAAAGGGAUGAAAUCCGUCCUGCACAUCGAGAAAGAAAAAAAAGCAGGGAAAUUUUCAAGAAUAGAGUCAGGUAUGUCGCCAUUCAUAAAUUAAAUCAUGACUGGAAAUCUUCAGCAUCGCAAAGUGAGGUACGCGAUCCUGCAAUUUUGCCGUAGAGGUGUGCUUUUUCGCUGAACGGAUUGAUCAUCACGCUGUACUUACAACAACCGGCGUUCAAGCGUUCAGCAAUGGAGCUUUAAAAGUAGGAAUUUCCACCUGCCACCGAGAGGUUGCUGGAGGGACCUCCAUUUUGUAUCUGAUUUUACCCAUCCUGACGACCAUGCCAGGUCAUUUGCUAGGAGAGACAUUACAGAUAUUUUAGAGACUCGCACUAAUAUUCUAAGCAAUGUAAUCGGGUGAACCAACAGUUGUAGGAGUAGGUCGACGCUAUUUUUACCUAAUGAUGAUUAAUGAGCAGCUUGAUGGGCAAAAAAUCAAAUAAAGGCCGCUUAAUAUUAGCUGAUGAAUAUCAUGGUAAACUCUUUGCUUGGCGAUUUUUAAAAAUUGGGUUGGGAUUGCUAAUAGCCAUCAAUUGCGAAUGUCUGCGGACAUGAAUCAUCAUUCGGCGAAACUAAACGUUGACCUCUAAGAGUGAAUUUUAUAUUCUUUGGAGGAUAUCAGUGCGGGCAAACAGACACAAUGUAUCGAUGGCUAAAGUGCGAAACCACCUAUGCCUCUGCGUGCAGAGGAACAAGUCAACUUCGUAUGGAAUAUUCUACUCGCAGAGAAGAAAAUUCAAGGAAGUUUUCAAGAAAUUACGAUGACUGGUUUUCAGCAUAAAAAAAAAAACAAAGUAUGACAGGAAGUCUGUAACGUCCUGAACGGAGAUACGUGAUUUCGUACUUUGGUCAUCGAUGCAUUGUCUCUGUUUGCCAAGCAGCCUGAUUUUUGAAAUUUGUGCUUGUCGGCCGGUUCAAACAAGAAAGGAGAAUCGAGUUCUAUGAUUGGUCAGCUUUAUCCUUCGUCUCCUUUUUCUCGUCGAUAAAUGAUGUAAUGAUCGAGAAGCUAAGGGCAUCUCUUGAGUUGUUAAUACUAUGUCGUUGAAUCCAUCCUUUAUCGACGACAAAAAGAGUACGAAGGAUAAAACUGACCAAUCUCAGAACUCAAUUCUCCUUCAUCUUGUCUUAACUGGACGACAAACACAAAAUUUCAACCAUCAGGAUGCACGGAACUAAAAUUUUAAAUAGGCAAAAAGAUGAAGUCCUCCGUAACUCACGUAAUCAAAUCUCAGAUCUUGAUCAAUUCAAAGCCUUCAAAGUCAGUCAUGAACCAUUUUUGUCAUCAGAAUGUGACAGGAAAAACUUAUCAACACAAAUCUAGAUUCAUAAUACAUAAAUCGCUAAUCUCCAAUUAAUUGCAGUGCACGCACCUCUACUGUAGUGUUUCAACAUUUCUGCUUUUAUUUUAUUUUUUCGACAAAAAACAAGCCAACUUCACGGCUGAAAAUGUAUACAGAAUAUUAUGCUAACAGAGAAGGAAAAUCGAAUCAGUUUUCAGGAAAUUGUGCAGGCUAGGUUUCCAAAGAAACAACUGAGUAUUAAAGGAAGUCUGCAACUUCACUAACGGAGAUACGUGAUUCCGCACUUUUCGAAAUGCACAUGCUGGUUUGGGAGGUUUUACAAUUUUUUAAAGAAUACGGGACGGACGUGAAACUUCAGCUCGGAUGUGCAACAUAGAAAUGCUAAUGAUUAACCUUGUUGAGCUGAAGUUCUACACUGAAAAAAAUAAUAUGUUGUUUAGCAAAAACAGAGCCACAGACAACAGCCAGUACAAAAGAGCCAUAUACGAGUAGCAUGGAGGUUUCCUGAAGUUGAACGUUGCAAAAUAUGUUGUUUAUGCCAAAAAUGUGUCUGGUGAUCCCAAGAUGCUGCUUUUACUGCCCUCGCAGUUUACUUUACAUCCUAUGAAUGCAAAUUCAACUGCGUGGGCAAUCAAGGUAGCGUCCUAGGAUCAUCAGACACUUUUUGACAUUCUAGGUGCUAAAACAGCAUACCAUUUUUUUCAGUGUAAUUGAAAGAAUUGCCAGGACUAGUUGUUUUGUGUGACGUUUAAUUGCACCCUCAGUACGAUGAUCAUGAACAUGUUUAAAACAUAUAAACUCAAGUUUUAGGAAGAUUGCUUUCGAUGGCGCCUCAGAGCCAGCUAAUAAAUUGAUUGGUCUCACAUACGGUACACGCAAAUCAAUCACUAGCUUCGUUUUUUUGAGGAUUGUUCUGCCCUUUUUCUGUUGUUUAAAUCGGCCACAAUAAUGGAGACGAUGCGACGUAGGAACUAGUGAAUCGCAAACUUCAGUACUGCAAUAAUCGAUGAGAGCCAUAAACGAGUAGCAUGGAGGUUUCCUGAAGUUGAACGUUGCGCGAUGUCCAACCAUUACACUUCGACUAUCAGUGGCGCUUCAUUUUGCUAGUAAACUUCCGGCUCAGCAUUUCCACGUCCCAUUCGCGAAGCAGGCAACACGAACUCGAUUUGCGAUGUUGAAAAUUUGUUGUUGCUAUCAUUCUUUCAUAGGUAGACGAUAGAAUGUCUCACCAUAUUUAUUGAUUUUUCCUCAUUGUAAAUAGAGUAUUCUGUGAAAAUCAAACAAUAGAUUUCAUUCUUUUUCCGUCUAAAGAUAAAAUACCGCAGUAAAGAUUUUAAAACGACCAAGUCAGGAGUAUAGAUAACAUUAAACGAAAACAAGAAUAAAGUUAAAAGAAUACAAAGAACACAGUUAAAGAAUACCGAGGAGCGUACUUAAGGCAGCCAAAUUUUGAUUGAAUGUAAUUUCAUGAGCAUCUGUUUAUAAAAUACAAAAACUGCGAUGUGCGUAUAUUCUCCAAAAAUUGCAAAGCAAGAAAAUAUUGACGAUUAUUGGCACUGUAAAAUACUUGAAUUUUAGGAGGCAGGGGUUUAGAACCAUCAGUGUAAUCGCAGAAUAGGAUACCAUCAGUGUCUCAUUUGACUUUAACGACUACGGUGCGCCUUCAAUUCGUAAGAGACCUUCCAGCUCAGCAAACUACAUUUUCACCGUACCUAUCUCUGCCUCCUCGCUUAAACUACAAUACCUUUUUCGUUCUUUGGCAGGGCAAUGAUUCAAAUACGAGAUUGUUGCCAAGAUAAGUAUUAAAGUGUCUCAAAUAUGAUGUUUCCAAGUUUACGGCCAUUUUAUAUUUUCAAAAAGAAAAUUAAAUUCUUUGACAUGACAUUUUUAGAGACCAUUUUUAAAAAAAAAAUUGAUUAAAAGUCGUGUGCCGC